ACACCGCACACUGGUACAUCCAGUGCUUCCUGGAUGGGGUGCCGUUCCCCCUGGCACUUCGGAUGUUCGACAUUUACAUCCUUGAGGGCGCGCACGUACUCACCGGCAUGGUGUACACCGUCCUCAAGGUCCACCGAAAGCGCCUGCUGAAGAUGUCCAGGGACCACAUCCGGGAGUUCCUGCAGGUGACCCUGAAGCAGGCCUGGUCACUGAGCGAGGAUGCGGUCAUCAGGCAGCUGCGGGCCUCCAUGC